rnacentral:lncRNA from 1 species
GUAAAUGAUAGGAUGCAAUAUUACAUUAUCAUUACUUAAUUGAAGAAUAUAAUUAUAUUUGUGAUUGUUAUUAAAGCAAUCUUCAUACACAAAUUCUAGAGGAUCAGAUUUCUCUUUGUAUAGAAGGUCCUAAAAUCAGUGAGCUCUAGAAACUUCAGGCAGAAAAUUAUCGCGAGGGCAUACAAAUUGAAGUAUAAUUCAAAGAAUCAACCCGGGAAACUACAACCAGGAACCAUUUUAUUUCGGCUUCAGUUCCUAAUUUUUUUAAUAUUGACUAUCUAGUGUGGAAAAGAGUGAUUUAUAACCUCUGUGUCCAUAUCGGUAUGUCCCAGUUUCAGUCAUCAUCAUUUCAGUUACAGUUUCCUCUCGUGCAAGCCCCAAAUCAGUAAGCUUCAGCUUCUUACGGUUUGUAGUAAGCAAAAAAUUAUCUGCCCACACAAAACUUUUAUUAGGACAUCAUAAAAGCAUAAAAAGUGUGACAGAGCAGCUCUAAUAUAAAGGGAAAAAAACAACUACUGGAAGAAGCUACAAGGUAAAGCAAGCAAAACAAAAUGGUAAGACUGAUAGGGAGAAAGAAACAAAUCAUGAGUGAAUCAUGAAUAGGUACUAAAGCAAAGCAGAUACCAUGGAUGUGAAAUCAGGAACAUUCAAGAAUAUGAUGUAGAAACAUCUUACUGAAAAUUUUAGAUGAUUAACGGACCAACUACUGAAAAUCAAAGAAGCUGAACCAAAAAGAAGAAACUAAAAACAAUACCUUCGCAAGUAGUCAUUCAUUUUUGAAACCAGAUCCUAUGACGAUGAGGUGCAAAAGGUGAAACAAAUAGUACUCACACAAAUAAGAAAAGAGUGUUUUAUUGAAGUGUCGUAAAUAGUUAAAAGCAGAUGCCUCUAACCCACUUGAUUCUACAAGUAAAUAAGCAACAGAUCUUAUUGCUGAAUGCAAUGGUUGGUAUCCAAACGGGAAAAGGGUACAUCGUCUUUAACCUGUUGACGCUAUGACAGAUUUAAUCACCAUUAGAAACAAUCCUGACUAGAAAUGCAUUAGGAUUUCUAAUAAACCCCAUGAUGCAGCAAAUUGGUAUUAUGAAUCAAAAUGUUUAGAAAUCAUGUAAUUCUACCGCAACAAAUUUAUUAUGAAUAUUGAACAUAUUAAGGAGAAGUGUCUUGGCAAAAAUAGAAUAAAGCAUUCAGGAUAAGAAUCUCACCUGCCAAUGGAACCUAAUCCAAUAAAUAUAGGUAAAGAUGAAUAAAAACUUCCCAUGACAGUGCUCCAAGUCAUCAUGAUUUGCACACAGAGAGUCGGGCCCAUUGCCUCCGCGUCUGCUCCCAGCUCCAUCAGCGGACCACCACCAUAUCCCGCGGCAGCUCCAGCGG